GGGUUGUGAGGUUAAGCGACUAAGCGUACACGGUGGAUGCCCUGGCAGUCAGAGGCGAUGAAGGACGUGCUAAUCUGCGAUAAGCGUCGGUAAGGUGAUAUGAACCGUUAUAACCGGCGAUUUCCGAAUGGGGAAACCCAGUGUGAUUCGUCACACUAUCGUUAACUGAAUACAUAGGUUAACGAAGCGAACCGGGGGAACUGAAACAUCUAAGUACCCCGAGGAAAAGAAAUCAACCGAGAUUCCCCCAGUAGCGGC
rnacentral:rRNA from 1 species